CUAGUUGCCAGCAUUCAGUUGGGCACUCUAGUGAGACUGCCGGUGACAAACCGGAGGAAGGUGGGGAUGACGUCAAAUCAUCAUGCCCCUUAUGACCUGGGCUACACACGUGCUACAAUGGCGUAUACAACGAGUUGCCAACCCGCGAGGGUGAGCUAAUCUCUUAAAGUACGUCUCAGUUCGGAUUGUAGGCUGCAACUCGCCUACAUGAAGUCGGAAUCGCUAGUAAUCGCGGAUCAGCACGCCGCGGUGAAUACGUUCCCGGGUCUUGUACACACCGCCCGUCACACCAUGAGAGUUUGUAACACCCAAAGCCGGUGGGGUAACCUUCGGGAGCCAGCCGUCUAAGGUGGGACAGAUGAUUAGGGUGAAGUCGUAACAAGGUAGCCGUAGGAGAACCUGCGGCUGGAUCACCUCCUUU
rnacentral:rRNA from 1 species